GCAAACUUGGUCAUUUAGAGGAAGUAAAAGUCGUAACAAGGUUUCCGUAGGUGAACCUGCGGAAGGAUCAUUAACGUAUCUACCCUCGGGCGUGCUCGGCCCCGCUCCGGCGGAACCGCCGUGCAGCGGGCCGGCGCCCCGGGCAACCACAAACCCCACCGUGCACCAUUCGCGGCGGAGGGUGCGGCGCGAGCCUGCCCGAAGCCGCGGCAUUUUUACAUACGCCGUCUCGGAAACUGUCUUGCGGACUCGUUCCGCCCAUAAACUUGACAACUUUCAACAACGGAUCUCUUGGCUCUCGCAUCGAUGAAGAACGCAGC
rnacentral:misc_RNA from 1 species